CCUUUAUGGAGAGUUUGAUCCUGGCUCAGGACGAACGCUGGCGGCGUGCCUAAUACAUGCAAGUCGAGCGGAUCUUCUUGAGUAGCUUGCUACUUAAGAAGGUUAGCGGCGGACGGGUGAGUAACACGUAGGCAACCUGCCCAUAAGACCGGGAUAACAUUCGGAAACGAAUGCUAAGACCGGAUACGCAGGACUGGGGCAUCCCGGUUCUGGGAAACACGGUGCAAGCUGUGGCUUAUGGAUGGGCCUGCGGCGCAUUAGCUAGUUGGUGGGGUAACGGCCUACCAAGGCGACGAUGCGUAGCCGACCUGAGAGGGUGAACGGCCACACUGGGAC
rnacentral:rRNA from 1 species